UAGGGAAUAUUGGUAAUGUGCGAAAGCGCGAACCAGCAACGCCGCGUGCACGAUGAAGGCCUUCGGGUUGUAAAGUGCUUUUAGAGAGGAUGAGGAAGGACAGUACUUUCUGAAUAAGCCUCGGCUAACUACGUGCCAGCAGCCGCGGUAAAACGUAGGAGGCUAGCGUUAUCCGGAUUUACUGGGCGUAAAGCGCGUGCAGGUGGUUUCGUAAGUUGGAUGUGAAAGCUCCUGGCUUAACUGGGAGAGGUCGUUCAAAACUGCGAGGCUUGAGAGUGGUAGAGGGAGGUGGAAUUCCGGGUGUAGUGGUGAAAUGCGUAGAUAUCCGGAGGAACACCAGUGGCGAAAGCGGCCUCCUGGACCAUUUCUGACACUCAGACGCGAAAGCUAAGGU
rnacentral:rRNA from 1 species